rnacentral:rRNA from 1 species
GACGAACGCUGGCGGCGUGCUUAACACAUGCAAGUCGAACGGUAAGGCCCUUCGGGGUACACGAGUGGCGAACGGGAGAGUAACACGUGGGUGAUCUGCCCUGCACUUCGGGAUAAGCCUGGGAAACUGGGUCUAAUACCGGAUAGGACUCCGGACUGCAUGGUCUGGGGUGGAAAGCUUUUGCGGUGUGGGAUGGGCCCGCGGCCUAUCAGCUUGUUGGUGGGGGGAUGGCCUACCAAGGCGACGACGGGUAGCCGGCCUGAAAGGGUGACCGGCCACACUGGGACUGAGAUACGGCCCAGACUCCUACGGGAGGCAGCAGUGGGGAAUAUUGCACAAUGGGCGCAAGCCUGAUGCAGCGACGCCGCGUGAGGGAUGACGGCCUUCGGGUUGUAAACCUCUUUCAGCAUCGACGAAGCGAAAGUGACGGUAGGUGCAGAAGAAGGACCGGCCAACUACGUGCCAGCAGCCGCCGCAG